rnacentral:rRNA from 1 species
GACGAACGCUGGCGGCGUGCUUAACACAUGCAAGUCGAACGGGUCUGCCCUGUUUUUUGCGGGGUGGGUCAGUGGCGAACGGGUGAGUAACACGUGAGUAACCUGCCCCUCACUUCUGGAUAACCGCUUGAAAGGGUGGCUAAUACGGGGUGUUCUGGCUGUGCCGCAUGGUGUGGCUGGGAAAGAUUCACUUUUGUGGUGUUUUGGUGGGGGAUGGGCUCGCGGCCUAUCAGCUUGUUGGUGGGGUGAUGGCCUGCCAAGGCUUUGACGGGUAGCCGGCCUGGGAGGGUGGGCGGUCACACUGGUACUGAGAGGCGGCCCAGACUCCUGCGGGAGGCAGCAGUGGGGGUUAUUGCACAAUGGGCGGAAGCCUGAUGCAGCGACGUCGCGUGAGGGAUGGAGGCCUUCGGGUUGUGAACCUCUUUCGCCGGUGAAGAAGGUCCUGCUCUUUGUGGUGGGGUUGACGGUAGCCGGGUUAUGAAGCGCCGGCUAACUACGUG